rnacentral:rRNA from 1 species
CUACGGGUGGCAGCAGUGGGGAAUAUUGCACAAUGGGCGAAAGCCUGAUGCAGCAACGCCGCGUGGAGGAUGACACAUUUCGGUGCGUAAACUCCUUUUAUAUAAGAAGAUAAUGACGGUAUUAUAUGAAUAAGCACCGGCUAACUCCGUGCCAGCAGCCGCGGUAAUACGGGGGGUGCAAGCGUUACUCGGAAUCACUGGGCGUAAAGAGCAUGUAGGCUGGAUGACAAGUUGGAAGUGAAAUCCUAUGGCUUAACCAUAGAACUGCUUCCAAAACUGUCUUCCUAGAGUAUGGGAGAGGUAGAUGGAAUUUCUGGUGUAGGGGUAAAAUCCGUAGAGAUCAGAAGGAAUACCGAUUGCGAAGGCGAUCUACUGGAACAUUACUGACGCUCAGAUGCGAAAGCGUGGGGAGCAAACAGGAUUAGAUACCCCCGUAGUC